rnacentral:rRNA from 1 species
UGGGGAAUUUUGCACAAUGGGGGAAACCCUGAUGCAGCGACGCCGCGUGAUUUAGAAGGCCUUCGGGUUGUAAAAAUCUUUUUUACGGGAUGAAAAUGACAGUACCGUAAGAAUAAGGUCCGGCUAAAUACGUGCCAGCAGCCGCGGUAAUACGUAUGGACCGAGCGUUGUCCGGAAUCAUUGGGCGUAAAGGGUACGUAGGCGGCCUAGUAAGUUAGAAGUGAAAGAAUAUAGCUCAACUAUAUAAAGCUUUUAAAACUGUUAGGCUUGAGAGAUGAAAGGGAGAGUGGAAUUCCUAGUGUAGCGGUGAAAUGCGCAGAUAUUAGGAAGAAUACCGGUGGCGAAGGCGACUUUCUGGUCAUCAUCUGACGCUGAGGUACGAAAGCGUGGGUAGCAAACAGG